rnacentral:rRNA from 1 species
UGGGGAAUUUUGGACAAUUGGGCGAAAGCCUGAUCCAGCAAUGCCGCGUGUGUGAAGAAGGCCUUCGGGUUGUAAAGCACUUUUGUCCGGAAAGAAAUCCUUGGCUCUAAUACAGUCGGGGGAUGACGGUACCGGAAGAAUAAGCACCGGCUAACUACGUGCCAGCAGCCGCGGUAAUACGUAGGGUGCAAGCGUUAAUCGGAAUUACUGGGCGUAAAGCGUGCGCAGGCGGUUUGCUAAGACCGAUGUGAAAUCCCCGGGCUCAACCUGGGAACUGCAUUGGUGACUGGCAGGCUAGAGUAUGGCAGAGGGGGGUAGAAUUCCACGUGUAGCAGUGAAAUGCGUAGAGAUGUGGAGGAAUACCGAUGGCGAAGGCAGCCCCCUGGGCCAAUACUGACGCUCAUGCACGAAAGCGUGGGGAGCAAACAGGAUUAGAUACCCUGGUAGUCCACGCCCUAAAACGAUGUCAACUAGUUGUUGGGGAUUCAUUUCCUUAGUAACGUAGCUAACGCGUGAAGUUGACCGCCUGGGGAGUACGGUCGCAAGAUUAAAACUCAAAUGAAUUGACGGGGUCAUAGCUGUUUCCU